CGGCUCGUCUUCCAAUCGAACAGGAUGCAGCUCUACGAAAGCUGCAAUGGUGGUUUGAAUCCACCCGAGCCGACCA
rnacentral:tRNA from 1 species